rnacentral:misc_RNA from 1 species
GAUGAAGAACGUAGCGAAAUGCGAUAAGUAAUGUGAAUUGCAGAAUCCAGUGAAUCAUCGAAUCUUUGAACGCACAUUGCGCCCGCCAGCAUUCUGGCGGGCAUGCCUGUUCGAGCGUCAUUUCAACCCUCGACCUCCCCUUGGGGAGGUCGGCGUUGGGGACCGGCAGCACACCGCCGGCCCUGAAAUGGAGUGGCGGCCCGUCUGCGGCGACCUCUGCGUAGUAAUACAGCUCGCACCGGAACCCCGACGCGGCCACGCCGUAAAACACCCAACUUCUGAACGUUGACCUCGAAUCAGGUAGGACUACCCGCUGAACUUAAGCAUAUCAUAAGCGGAGGA